AGGACGAACGCUGGCGGCGUGCUUAACACAUGCAAGUCGAACGGUGAACGGGCCUUCGGGCCCCGGAUCAGUGGCGAACGGGUGAGUAACACGUGGGCAACCUGCCCCUAGCUCCGGAAUAACCCCGGGAAACCGAGGCUAAUACCGGAUAUGACUCUGCGCGGCAUCUCGCGGAGUGGAAAGUUUUUCGGCUAGGGAUGGGCCCGCGGCCUAUCAGCUUGUUGGUGGGGUAAUGGCCUACCAAGGCGACAACGGGUAGCCGGCCUGAGAGGGUGACCGGCCACACUGGGACUGAGACACGGCCCAGACUCCUACGGGAGGCAGCAGCGGGGAAUAUUGCGCAAUGGGCGAAAGCCUGACGCAGCGACGCCGCGUGAGGGAUGACGGCCUUCGGGUUGUAAACCGCUUUCAGCAGGGACGAAAUUGACGGUACCUGCAGAAGAAGCCCCGGCCACUACGUGCCAGCAGCCGC
rnacentral:rRNA from 1 species